AUACGGAGGGUCCAAGCGUUAUCCGGAUUCAUUGGGUUUAAAGGGUCCGCAGGCGGGAAAAUAAGUCAGUGGUGAAAGCCUACAGCUCAACUGUAGAACUGCCAUUGAUACUGUUUUUCUUGAGUAUAGAUGAAGUGGGCGGAAUAUAUCAUGUAGCGGUGAAAUGCAUAGAUAUGAUAUAGAACACCGAUUGCGAAGGCAGCUCACUAAACUAUUACUGACGCUCAGGGACGAAAGCGUGGGGAGCGAACAGGAUUAGAAACCCCAGUAGUCC
rnacentral:rRNA from 1 species